AUACUUACCUGGCAAGGGAGAUUCCAUGAUCACAAAGGUGGUUUUCCCAGGGCGAGGCACUCCCGAUGUGCUGACUCUACAAUUUCCCC
rnacentral:snRNA from 1 species